rnacentral:sRNA from 1 species
AUAGCGGUGUCUCUUUUUUGAGUGGUAGGCCGUUGGGUCUAGCGGGCCCUUGAUGCCCCGUGACGAUUCCAUUGGUCACCGGUCCGUUUACUCCAUUAAGAUUGCACUGACUGUGGUCGAUACUGGACAGUUUCCCGAUGUUCGGGCUGUUGAUUCCUAGACUCUUGGUUACAUUAGGGUUCGUCACUAUCCCGUUUCGUUUUCGUCGCAUUUCCGGCGAUCGCAGCGCACUCUGUCCCAUUAUAAGUUUGGAUGGCUGAUCUUUAACUGGACUCUGUUUCAAACGAAGUUUCUCCAGGUCGCUUUUGAUGUUCUUGAAAUGUAAAGGGUUAAUUUGCCAGACUGGGUCGUCUGCGAAUUCAGCGUUCGGUGGAAGGGGAGAUCUGACUAUGAAUGUUGUUCAAUUCGUUGUGAACUUCCACCAUUGGUGAAAGAGGCGGGGACUGUACAGGGGUCUGGGGCUCGCUUACGGGAGACAGGACACGACUCGCCGGACGGGGGCGGUUCCGGCUCAUUGAACACUGCUGCAGCUGUUGUGUGAAUGUCAAACAAUCACCACUGCCGAGUGCAUUGGAACUGUAGGCGCUUUGAUUCGUGGAGGAAGUAAAAUUACUGGAUGACUUCGAGGAGUUGUUCGAAGCGUACGAUUUCCGGCGGUCAAACGUCGAGUCGGGAGAAUCGGACGGCGAGCUGUUUAGCUGACUUCCGUUAACGAUGACUCCUGACGUCACACCACCGGUCGUGUUUGUGGGUUUCGUGUCGUUACUUGAAGUGGAUGAAUUACUUCGGCUGCUCUUACAGCUUGGAGCCACGGCGCCGUAUUCUUCCAAUAGGCGACACACACUGGAAUGUCCACUUUUAAUCGCGACUUUCGCCGGCGUACGACCGAACUGGUCGGCGUGAUUUGGGUUCGCUUUGAAUUGUAACAGAGUUCUAACCACAUCUUCGUGUCCUUCUUGAGCCGCUAUGCACAGCGCAGUCGCGCCCUGGUUACACGUGUGAUCCACCGUUGCACCCUUCUGCAGCAGGAGACGGACUAUUUCGUCGUGCCCCUGCCAGGCCGCGGACUGUAGUGCAGAACGUCGGUCGUUGUCAACCGCAUUCACUUGGGCUCCAUAAUUCAAAAGAUGCUGCACGACCUCUGUAUGACCUUGCCAGCUGGAAAUAUGAAGCCCAGUACGUCCUUCCAAAUCGGUACACUCGGCGUCGGCACCAUUUUCGAGCAAGAAAAGCGCCAUAUCGGCCUUGUUUUCGAGACACAAUAGAUAUAAUGUGGAUCUUCCAUCCAAGUCUUUGUAGUUGAUGUUUGCGUUGCAAGACAUGAGGUACUCGACAACCUCAAGGUGACCACCUACUGCAGCCACCCGUAGUGCGGUCUUCCCGUCAAGUGACUUGUGGUCGACCAUAGCGCCGUGCUCCGCGAGACAUUGCACCACCGCCAGAUGUCCUUCCUGCGCAGCAAGAACCAACGGAUGGCGACCGUCGUUAUCGCACUCAUUUACUUUGGCGCAAAAUUCCAGAAGGCACUCUGUGACCUAAAAAAGAUUAAACAAAAAUAUCAACAAAGUGACUCACUUCUCUGAAUAAAUGGCGGCGAUGUACUCUUUGUGCGUUUCAAAACAAUGACAAAAUAUCUUAAACAAUAUAAAGCAGUGCCUC